rnacentral:rRNA from 1 species
GACGAACGCUGGCGGCGUGCUUAACACAUGCAAGUCGAACGGAAAGGCCCUGCUUUUGUGGUGUGCUCGAGUGGCGAACGGGUGAGUAACACGUAGGUAACCUGCCCUUGACUUUGGGAUAACUUCUGGAAACUGGGGCUAAUACCGGAUAGGAGCUCCUGCUGCAUGGUGGUGGUUGGAAAGUUUCGGCGGUUGGGGAUGGACUCGCGGCUUAUCAGCUUGUUGGUGGGGUAGUGGCUUACCAAGGCUUUGACGGGUAGCCGGCCUGAGAGGGUGACCGGCCACAUUGGGACUGAGAUACGGCCCAGACUCCUACGGGAGGCAGCAGUGGGGAAUAUUGCACAAUGGGCGGAAGCCUGAUGCAGCAACGCCGCGUGCGGGAUGACGGCCUUCGGGUUGUAAACCGCUUUCGCCUGUGACGAAGCGUGAGUGACGGUAAUGGGUAAAGAAGCACCGGCUAACUACGUG